CUGCCAUGAUAUUUCAAUGUUACUUUAUAUCGCCUCGGCUGGUCGAUUAAGUCAGUGGCAUUCAGCAUGCGUCUCAUGUUUGACCUUCCUCAUUUUGUUUUAUCUUGUUGUUGUGUUUUAUCUUGGAUUUUAGAAUUUGCGGUCUCUUCUAGGAGCUUAAACUAUCUCUAUACUUGGUUUCCUGCACUUGGCUUUUAUUCUACUGAUGUUGCUC
rnacentral:lncRNA from 1 species